UACGGCCACAUCACUUUAAAACACCAGUUCUCGUCCGAUCAUCGAAGUUAAGCAACGCAGUUGCCUGGUCAGUGCUUAAAUGGGUGACCGAUUGGGAAUACCAGGUGCU